CCAGACUCCUACGGGAGGCAGCAGUGGGGAAUAUUGCACAAUGGGGGGAACCCUGAUGCAGCGACGCCGCGUGGGUGAAGGAGUACUUCGGUACGUAAAGCCCUAUCAGCAGGAAAGAAAAUGACGGUACCUGACUAAGAAGCCCCGGCUAACUACGUGCCAGCAGCCGCGGUAAUACGUAGGGGGCAAGCGUUAUCCGGAUUCACUGGGUGUAAAGGGAGCGUAGACGGCGACGCAAGUCUGGAGUGAAAGCCCGGGGCCCAACCCCGGGACUGCUCUGGGAACUGUAAAACUGGAGUGCAGGAGAGGUAAGCGGAAUUCCUAGUGUAGCGGUGAAAUGCGUAGAUAUUAGGAGGAACACCAGUGGCGAAGGCGGCUUACUGGACUGUAACUGACGUUGAGGCUCGAAGGCGUGGGGAGCAAACAGGAUUAGAUACCCCUGUA
rnacentral:rRNA from 1 species